UACUCCCUCCGUUCCGAAUUACUUGUCGCACGUAUGGAUGUAUCUAGAUGUAUUUUAGUUUUAGAUACAUCCAUUUCAGCGACAAGUAAUUUGGAACGGAGGAAGUAUUUAGGAAGGGAGGGAGUACAUGUUGUGUUUCUGUUCUUUCCCAGUUCAAUUUCCAUGUGGAAAUCAUAGCAGCCACCUGUGGUGAUGUAAUCCUGCCUCCCCAGCUUGAUUAAAUCUUCGCUGCAGAUCAAUAUAUGUGGAGAUCUGUAGUAUUGUAGUAUCACAGAUACUAACAGAUUCUUGGAAAGAUAACCAGCACUUAAUGAGAAGUGACAACAGGCUUGCAUGUGUAAAUAUGCGGAAAAAGGAAGGGUUGGGCGACCUGCUUCAAAACCAAGCUUCUAAAUACUGUAUUCUAGAAAAUGUUUGCAGAUAUCAGCCAGUAUAGCCGAAUCUGUGGAUGACAAUGAAUUUUAUUUACAAAAAAUAUUGAUCUUCUAUGGUGAUGAAUUAGUACAAUAGAUGCACCAUUUGUCAAACAAUUUGUUGGAGAUGGUUUCCUUUUUCCUGUUUAUGUAAAACCGUCGGUAGUGAUUCUAUCUUUUUUUUUCUAGAGAGGAAUGGUAUAUACAUGAAUAGCAAGACAGUGGCAGUACUUUUCUGAUAUGGCUAUAUGUAUGUAUGUACUAAUACAUCCGAUAUAUAAACUGAGAUCAGCCAAUGGGAAGCUUACUCAAAACAUUUA